rnacentral:rRNA from 1 species
UACGUAGGGUGCAAGCGUUAAUCGGAAUUACUGGGCGUAAAGCGUGCGCAGGCGGCUUUGCAAGACAGAUGUGAAAUCCCCGGGCUUAGCCUGGGAACUGCGCUUGUAACUGGCAAGCUAGAGUGUGGCAGAGGGGGGUGGAAUUCCACGUGUAGCAGUGAAAUGCGUAGAGAUGCGGAGGAACACCGAUGGCGAAGGCAGCCCCCUGGGCCAAUACUGACGCUCAGGCACGAAAGCGUGGGGAGCAAACAGG